GACGAACGCUGGCGGCGUGCUUAACACAUGCAAGUCGAACGGAAAGGCCCUGCUUUUGUGGGGUGCUCGAGUGGCGAACGGGUGAGUAACACGUGAGUAACCUGCCCUUGACUUUGGGAUAACUUCAGGAAACUGGGGCUAAUACCGGAUAGGAGCUCCUGCUGCAUGGUGGGGGUUGGAAAGUUUCGGCGGUUGGGGAUGGACUCGCGGCUUAUGAGCUUGUUGGUGGGGUAGUGGCUUACCAAGGCUUUGACGGGUAGCCGGCCUGAGAGGGUGACCGGCCACAUUGGGACUGAGAGACGGCCCAGACGCCUACGGGAGGCAGCAGUGGGGAAUCUUGCACAAUGGGCGGAAGCCUGAUGCAGCAACGCCGCGUGCGGGAUGACCGCCUUCGGGUUGUAAACCGCUUUCGCCUGUGACGAAGCGUGAGUGACGGUAAUGGGUAAAGAAGCACCGGCUAACUACGUG
rnacentral:rRNA from 1 species